rnacentral:rRNA from 1 species
AACGAACGCUGGCGGCAUGCCUAACACAUGCAAGUCGAACGAGACCUUCGGGUCUAGUGGCGCACGGGGUCGUAACGCGUGGGAACCUUCCCUUAUGUUCGGAAUAACUCCCCGAAAGGGGUGCUAAUACCGGAUAAUGUCUUCUGACCAAAGAUUUAUCGCCUUUGGAUGGGCCCUCGUUGGAUUAGCUAGUUGUUAGGGUAAAAGCCUCCCAAGGCGACGAUCCAUAGCUGGUAUGAGAGGAUGAUCAGCCACACUGGGACUGAGACACGGCCCAGACUCCUACGGGAGGCAGCAGUGGGGAAUAUUGGAAAAUGGGCGAAAGCAUGAUCCAGCAAUGACGGGUGAGUGAUGAAGGCAUUAGGGUUGUAAAGCUCUUUUACCCGGGAUGAUAAUGACAGUACCGGGAGAAUAAGCUCCGGCUAACUCCGUG